UACAGAGGGUGCGAGCGUUGUUCGGAAUUAUUGGGCGUAAAGAGCUCGUAGGCGGUGUGUCACGUCGGCCGUGAAAACCUGCAGCUUAACUGUGGGCGUGCGGUCGAUACGGGCAUCACUGGAGUUCGGCAGGGGAGACUGGAAUUCCUGGUGUAGCGGCGGAAUGCGCAGAUAUCAGGAGGAACACCGAUGGCGAAGGCAGAUCUCUGGGCCGUAACUGACGCUGAGGAGCGAAAGCAUGUGGAGCGAACAGG
rnacentral:rRNA from 1 species